UACGUAGGGGGCGAGCGUUGUCCGGAUUUAUUGGGCGUAAAGAGCGUGUAGGCGGCCAGGUAGGUCUGCUGUGAAAACUCGAGGCUCAACCUCGAGACGUCGGCGGAAACCAUCUGGCUAGAGUCCGGAAGAGGAGAGUGGAAUUCCUGGUGUAGCGGUGAAAUGCGCAGAUAUCAGGAAGAACACCAAUGGCGAAAGCGACUCUCUGGCCCGUAUCUGACGCUGAGGCGCGAAAGCUUGGGUAGCAAACGGG
rnacentral:rRNA from 1 species